rnacentral:rRNA from 1 species
CCUACGGGAGGCUGCAGUGGGGAAUAUUGGACAAUGGGCGAAAGCCUGAUCCAGCCAUGCCGCGUGUGUGAAGAAGGCCUUCGGGUUGUAAAGCACUUUCAGUGGGGAAGAAAGCCUUGGGGCUAAUACCCUCGAGGAAGGACAUCACCCACAGAAGAAGCACCGGCUAACUCCGUGCCAGCAGCCGCGGUAAUACGGAGGGUGCGAGCGUUAAUCGGAAUUACUGGGCGUAAAGCGCGCGUAGGCGGUCUGAUAAGCCGGUUGUGAAAGCCCCGGGCUCAACCUGGGAACGGCAUCCGGAACUGUCAGGCUAGAGUGCAGGAGAGGAAGGUAGAAUUCCCGGUGUAGCAGUGAAAUGCGUAGAGAUCGGGAGGAAUACCAGUGGCGAAGGCGGCCUUCUGGACUGACACUGACGCUGAGGUGCGAAAGCGUGGGUAGCAAACAGGAUUAGAUACCCCAGUAGUC